AGAAAAACAGUACCACCAGUUAGAGGCAGUUUGUAUUCAGUUUGUGGCACUUUCCAGAUUAACCUGGUUCAGGUGUUUAGAAGAAUGACUGAGAUAGCCAGCAUGGCCAGACUCAGACAGCAACUGUAGUUCAGAUCGGCUGGUUCUAAAAUUCUUGGCUCCGGGUUACUCAGUAACUCCUGCCACCUCCCGAGUCUGACAUGAGCUAGAUAGAAGUGACAGAGCAGCACCUAGAUGGGCGCUGGUUCAGUAAGGAGGGUGUUCCUGACCUAGAAGAUGCUACUUAGUAAAGGUUUUUUGGGAAGAACAAAGUAAUCAACCCCUUGUUCAUUUUGGUAGAGAGAUGAAAAGUCUUGAGUUCAAGGAGAAUGCAUGCUCCUUUGACCUCAGUAAUUUGAAUGUCUGGUAUUUAUAAAGAGGGGAAUGGAUUUACCAUCACCUAGAUUUAAAUAUAACAGACUGUCAUGAAUAAAGCAAUCAGGGAGAAAGUAAACACUCUAAUAGUUAAAUUGCAUGUAUUGUCACAUGUGUUUUAAGACCAUUAAAACAUAUAAAACAAAAAAUUGAGGUUGGCUGUAGAAAACAUGUCACCUAUUGAUAGAAAAGGGAUAGAACAUACAGCUGUUGGGACACACUUUUCUUUGGGCUGGGCAGAGAACUAAUGAAUGACAGAACAUUCUUCAUGAGAAGGGUCAGGGUGCCAGACAUGGGUGGUGGCAGUGUUGUUGCUGGCUUAAAAACACUUAGAACUCCCUCGUGUAUGUUCCUGCAGAAUAUACUAUAGAAAGAUAGAGCAUACCUGGUUGUGCUAGUAAGACUUUUAGCAGGAAUAGACCUGCAGCACAUUCGCCUAGCAACUAGCAUCUUUCCUGAAGAUGCUGGAGAGAUGCCAUGCUACCUUGGGAAUUGGCACAAUCUAGCAUCUUAGUUCCCUAUCUUGUACAAAAUCUAAGGGAAGUUUGCUUUCCUGCCUUACAAUUCUGUGGGCUACCUAUCUAUAAAUAAUGUUCUCUGCUGUUGGCUGGUUGUGGCAGCACACACUUUUAAUCCCAACACUUGGGGGGCAGAGGCAGGUGGAUCUCUUUGUUCAACAACAGCCUGGUCUACAAAGCAAGUUCCAGGAUAACCAUACUGCACAGAGAAACCUUAUCUCGAACCCCAACCCCCAUCUCCGCAAAAAAAAAAAAAGUUCUCUGAAAACGCUUAUUUCUUAGGAUCUUUUUAAAGGUUUCUUUUUUCCCCCAUUGCGUUUUGUUUUGUUUUGUUCUCCUUUUCUUUUUUUUUUUUUAGUUGGAUAUUUUCUUUAUUUACAUUUCAAAUGUUUUCCCUUUUCCUUGUCUUCCCUUUGGAAACUCCCUAUCCCAUUCCCUACCUCCUGCCUCUAUGCGGGUGCUCCCCACCUACUCACUCCCAUCCUCCUGCCCUGGCGUUCCCCUACAUUGGGGCAUCGAACACCCUCAGGCCCGAGGGCCUCUCCUCCCACUGAUGCCAACAAGGCCAUCCUCUGCCACAUAUGUGGCCGGAGCAAUGGGUCCCUCCAUGUGUACUCUUUGGUUGAUGAUCUAGUCCCCAGGAGCUCAGGGGGCGGGGGGAUUUUAAUAGGAAACUAAACUUUUCUUCUUAUGUAGUGAAAUAGCUAAUAUUAACUGAGCUAUGUCUAGGCUUUGUCUAGUGUUAUAAAUUUUAGUUACACUAGGCCAUUUGUUUCUCAUACUCUUCCCAGAGAUUUAGGUUAUAAGCCUGGACACUCUCAGCCCCAACAAGCUAGGUUUGGUCACCCAUCCUCAGUAUGUCAAAGGAACAAGUAGUAGUGUGAAAAAGUGGAGAAGAGGUUUAUUCAGUGUAUCCUCAAAGAGAAGAGAAACAAGUAAGAAAAUUGCUCUCAUUCCAGUGCACAUGCAUAGUUGGUUGCACUCAAAUAGGACCAUACACGGAAGGAGAGAUGUGUGGGUGUGAAAUUGCUUGGCCACCAAGCUUGACCUGAAUUCAGUUUCUGUGCUUGUACAUGGUGGAGGGAGAAAACUAACUCCUGAGAAUGAUCCUCUGACUUCCACAUGCACUCGGCGGCCUGCACAUACAAAUAGUGUAUGGAAAUCUAUAGUGUUAAUCAUAGAAGAAAAUCAGUGACUCCUUUCUUAAAGGCAACCAACACAUGGCAAUUAGUAACUUUGUUUUAAAUAUGCAUUGUGUUGUAUACAUGAAUAUGUGAAUGUUUUACACUAGUUGUGUGUGUGUGUGUGUGUGUGUUUUACAGGAGUGUACUCUAAUGAUAAAAGCUGUAGUAUAGUUUUGAGCACAGUGGCCUGUCUCAAUUAUGCAAGAGACUGAGGUAAGGAUUACUUGAGCCUCACAUUCCAGACCUUCCUGAGGAAUCUCGUGACAUCCUAUUUCGUAAACAAGGACAACAUAGUGACAAAGUGUAAUAUAUGAAUGCAUAGACCACUUAUAGUCAUUGAUGACAUGAUAUAAGUAAUUGAAUGUGCUUUGUUUCUAGCAACACAGUAUGAUUCAUACUAGCAUCACCACAAACGAGUGAGUGAUAGAAAUGUUUUUAAAUGUCAUAAUCAUAUAAAACUACUGUUGUAUGUAGUUAAUAGCUGACUGAUUCAUCACAUGAAAGAUCAUAUGUGUAUGUAUAAUAUCUUGUCAUCACUGAUGUUUUGAACAAAUUAUCUUUUUACCGUUAGGUAAUUAGG
rnacentral:lncRNA from 1 species